GGCCUACUCCUGCACCUAUUGUCUAUUUUUCUAUGUUACAAUAACAUGGGGUAGAAAAAACAGCUAAGUACAUGGUCUCUACACCAAAAAUCAAUGCUUCCUUGCUUGUUAUUUUCUAGUAUGAAUGUAUGCGAGAGGAGGAAUGUAAGAUGCAAUAAAUGAUAAUAAGUGCACAGGAGAGGGGUAAAAUGAGCUGAACUGUGGAGGAGAAAUGAGGUUUGAGGUUAUUCUGCAUUACAGAAUGAUUUUAAAAUAAAGAAAAGCA